rnacentral:rRNA from 1 species
AUUGAACGCUGGCGGCAGGCCUAACACAUGCAAGUCGAGCGAGCGGCGGACGGGUGUGUAAUGUCUGUGAGACUGCCUCAUGGGGGGGGGUAACUACUGGAAACGGUAGCUAAUACCGCAUACCCUCAGGUGUGCCCAGAUGGGCUUAGCUAGUAGGGGGGGUAACGGCUCACCUAGGCGACGUUCCCUAGCUGGUCUGAGAGGAUGACCAGCCACACUGGAACUGAGACACGGUCCAGACUCCUACGGUAGGCAGCAGUGGGGAAUAUUGCACAAUGGGCGCAAGCCUGAUGCAGCCAUGCCGCGUGUGUGAAGAAGGCCUUCGGGUUGUAAAGCACUUUCAGCGGGGAGGCGUUACCCGCAGAAGAAGCACCGGCUAACUCCGUGCCAGCAGCCGCGGUAAUAC